rnacentral:rRNA from 1 species
AGCGAACGCUGGCGGCAGGCCUAACACAUGCAAGUCGAACGAACCUUUCGGGGUUAGUGGCUGACGGGUGAGUAACACGUGGGAACGUGCCUUUAGGUUCGGAAUACCUCAGGGAAACUUGUGCUAAUACCGAAUGUGCCCUUCGGGGGAUAGAUUUAUCGUCUUUAGAGCGGCCCGCGUCGGAUUAGCUAGUUGGUUUAGGUAAUGGCUCACCAAGGCGACGAUCAUUAGCUGGUCUGAGAGGAUGAUUAGACACAUUGGUACGGAGACACGGCCCAAAAUAUUAGGCGAGGGAGGAGAGGGGAAUCUUGCGAAACCGGGGAAAGGAAGAAGGAGCCAGGCUGGGAAAAUGAUGAAGGUGGUAGGAAUGUAAAAUAGGUUAACAGGGGACGAUAAUGACGGUACCCGGAGAAGAAGCACCGGCUAACUUCGUG